UGGGGAAUUUUGGACAAUGGGCGAAAGCCUGAUCCAGCAAUGCCGCGUGUGUGAAGAAGGCCUUCGGGUUGUAAAGCACUUUUGUCCGGAAAGAAAUCCUUGGCUCUAAUACAGUCGGGGGAUGACGGUACCGGAAGAAUAAGCACCGGCUAACUACGUGCCAGCAGCCGCGGUAAUACGUAGGGUGCAAGCGUUAAUCGGAAUUACUGGGCGUAAAGCGUGCGCAGGCGGUUUGCUAAGACCGAUGUGAAAUCCCCGGGCUCAACCUGGGAACUGCAUUGGUGACUGGCAGGCUAGAGUAUGGCAGAGGGGGGUAGAAUUCCACGUGUAGCAGUGAAAUGCGUAGAGAUGUGGAGGAAUACCGAUGGCGAAGGCAGCCCCCUGGGCCAAUACUGACGCUCAUGCACGAAAAGCGUGGGGGAGCAAACAGGAUUAGAUACCCUGGUAGUCCACGCCCUAAAACGAUGUCAACUAGUUGUUGGGGAUUCAUUUCCUUAGUAACGUAGCUAACGCGUGAAGUUGACCGCCUGGGGAGUACGGUCGCAAGAUUAAAACUCAAAGGAAUUGACGGGGUCAUAGCUGUUUCCU
rnacentral:rRNA from 1 species